rnacentral:rRNA from 1 species
GAUGAACGCUGACAGAAUGCUUAACACAUGCAAGUCGACUCGAGUCUUCGGACUUGGGUGGCGCACGGGUGAGUAACGCGUAAAGAACUUGCCUCUUAGUCUGGGACAACAUCUGGAAACGGAUGCUAAUACCGGAUAUUAUGGUUUUUUCGCAUGGAGGAAUCAUGAAAGCUAGAUGCGCUAAGAGAGAGCUUUGCGUCCCAUUAGCUGGUUGGUGAGGUAACGGCCCACCAAGGCAAUGAUGGGUAGCCGGCCUGAGAGGGUGAACGGCCACAAGGGGACUGAGACACGGCCCUUACUCCUACGGGAGGCAGCAGUGGGGAAUAUUGGACAAUGGACCACAAGUCUGAUCCAGCAAUUCUGUGUGCACGAUGACGUUUUUCGGAAUGUAAAGUGCUUUCAGUCGGGAAGAAGUCAGUGACGGUACCGACAGAAGAAGCGACGGCUAAAUACGUGCCAGCAGCCGCGGUAAUACGUAUGUCGCAAGCGUUAUCCGGAUUUAUUGGGCGUAAAGCGCGUCUAGGCGGCAAGGAAAGUCUGAUGUGAAAAUGCGGAGCUCAACUCCGUAUGGCGUUGGAAACUGCCUUACUAGAGUACUGGAGAGGUAGGCGGAACUACAAGUGUAGAGGUGAAAUUCGUAGAUAUUUAUAGGAAUGCCGAUGGGGAAGCCAGCCUACUGGACAGAUACUGACGCUAAAGCGCGAAAGCGUGGGUAGCAAACAGG